AGAUGGAGGCAUUUAUACUUCAAUCUUCUAGAUGAUUUGUGGGACAAAAUUAUGGUGUGGUAUUACCUAAAUGUUCUUAGAGUUGUGAGAGGUCAUGGUUUCUAGAGUUCUAUCCAAAAGAAAUAUAUGUGUGGAAAAUGUGUUAUGGGUGUCUACAUAAGUUGGUCAGAGUUUAGCUCUAUGUUUGUUGUGAGAGUCUUUUUAAAUGGUCCUGCAAGUGCUUUGUAAUCUUGAAUUGUGUUUAAUAAAAAUUG
rnacentral:misc_RNA from 1 species